rnacentral:rRNA from 1 species
ACGAACGCUGGCGGCGUGCCUAAUCCAUGCCAGUAGAACGCUGAAGCUUGGUGCUUGCACCGAGCGGAUGAGUUGCGAACGGGUGAGUAACGCGUAGGUAACCUGCCUGGUAGCGGGGGAUAACUAUUGGAAACGAUAGCUAAUACCGCAUAAGAGUAGAUGUUGCAUGACAUUUGCUUAAAAGGUGCAAUUGCAUCACUACCAGAUGGACCUGCGUUGUAUUAGCUAGUUGGUGAGGUAACGGCUCACCAAGGCAACGAUACAUAGCCGACCUGAGAGGGUGAUCGGCCACACUGGGACUGAGACACGGCCCAGACUCCUACGGGAGGCAGCAGUAGGGAAUCUUCGGCAAUAGACGGAAGUCUGACCGAGCAACGCCGCGUGAGUGAAGAAGGUUUUCGGAUCGUAAAGCUCUGUUGUAAGAGAAGAACGAGUGUGAGAGUGGAAAGUUCACACUGUGACGGUAUCUUACCAGAAAGGGACGGCUAACUACGUG